GUGGAGAGGAACUAGACAGUGAUAUAGAAGAAGAAAAAUAGAGGGGCCAUUGAUCGCUUGGAGCCGGGGGACAAUAAAUUUGUGGACUCCCCAGACAUUGUUUGCUUUUCUCUGCGCGAACAUGGUAUCAAUGACUAGAUCCUGGACAAAAGACCACUGAUGAUGAUGACAAGAAAAACUUCAAAAUGCAGUAGAAGCUUGAUAGCAAGGCCAAGUUUCUUCUCUACCAAUGUGUAAAUUCUAAAAUCUUUAACAAAAUCUCCAAGGCUUCCAUUGCCAAGGAAGCCAGAGAUAUUUUGAAAAACAAACGUACAGUGAAGGUGAUAAGAACAAGAAGGUUAAAUUGCAAACUUUGAGGAGGCAAUUUGAAUUCUUCAGCAUGGUGGAGAAUGAGACAAUAGCAGAUUAUUUUGACAAGAUUCAAGGACAUGUCAAUGCUAUGAGGGCCUGCAAAUAUAGCAUUACUAAUGAACAAGUGGUGGACCAAUCUUGAGGACAUUGCCUCCAAGAUUCAAUCAUGUAGUAGUUGCGAUUGAAACAUUGCCUCCAAGAUUCAAUCAUGUAGUAGUUGCGAUUGAAGCACAUGAGUUUCGGAUCAAUGAACGAAGACACAAUCAAGAGUAGACACUUGAAGCACGUUCCAAGCAAAAAGGAAAAGGAAAAGGAUCAUGGAAGGGAGGAAAAUUUAUAAGCAAGCAUAAUCUCGAGAGCACAAAACUAGUGAUGCAAGUGAGUCUUCCAAUAGCAGGUCGAGUCAUCAGAAACAAAAUACCAACUCCAAUGAAGGUGAGGAGUGGAAAUUUGAUAAAAGGAAAGUGAAAUGCUACAACUGCCAGAAGUAUGUUCAUUUUGCUCGAGAUUGAUGGGAUGGAGAAGGAGCCAAGAAUAAGCCAAAGAAUCAUGCAUCCUUUGAUUCAGAAACAGUGGUGCUUAUGGCUAAUACUAGUGAAAAAGUAAUGUUUUCAUAACUUCAAACAUUUUUCUUCAAACGGUAUAAAACUUGUGAGUUUUAUAUAAAAAGAUAGAGCUUUCAACUA